AUGGCGCAUGCAGUGGCCUCCAUGGAGCUCUCCCAGCUCCUCCCCACGGGCUGCCUCCAUCAGGCCAUCUGCACAGCUCACAGGCCCCAGGCUCACCUGAGCCCCCAAGGCCAUCACAGUCCCAGAGGGUCACACCCCUGGGAACUCCCCAUCCAUCCUUGCAGGUCCUUCUCUCAGGCCCCUACCAAAUCCCCAGGGAGAAGGCCAACAGGAGGCUGCAGCCCAGGCUUCUGGGCCACCAUGACUUGCGCUGGAACCUCCUCACACACCAGCACUCCCCCAGACAGGGGUCAGGCAAAGCCAAGGCCCUGGGGACACAGGCAGAUGACUCACCCCCUUUUCUUCUCCGAAUGGAGGCUUGGAAUCAAGAAACAGAGUAAAGGGAGUAAGAGGCAGGCUCGGCACCCAGGCCCCAUUAUCCACGCUCAUUUCCCCACCCCAUCCCUCUCACCGCCACCUCCCCCAACAACCAUGACCUCCCAGAUCUGCCCCCAGCCUACACCUCUUUAUCAGACCAUGAAGAGCAAAUCUGCCCAAAUGCAGAAUCAGUUGGUACAUGCCUUGAAAUCCAAGGAGGAAACAACCACAAGCAGGGGCUUGUGUGUGUGCCACAUGCAUGCAGGUGCACACAGCGCGUGUCUGCUCACCCACACAAAGACGUGUGCCACACACAUGCAGGUGCACACAGGGUGUAUCCGCUCACUCACGCACAGAUGUGUACCACACACAUGCAGGUGCACACAGCACGUCCACUCACCCACGCACAGACGUGUACCACACGCAUGCAGGUGCACACAGCACAUGUCCGCACACCCACGCACAGACGUGUGCCACAUGCAUGCAGGUGCACACAGGGUGUAUCCGCUCACCCACGCACAGACAUGUGUACCACACGCAUGCAGGUGCACACAUGUCCACACACACACAGACAUAUGUCACAUGCAUGCAGAUGUACACAGCGCGUGUCCGUUCACCCACGCACAUGCAUGCAGGUGCACACAGCACGUGUCCACUCACCCCUGCACAGACAUGUGUGCCACACGCAUGCAGGUGCACACAGCGCAUGUCCACUCACCCAGGCAUACAUAUGUGCCACACGCAUGCAGGUGCACACAGCGCGUGUCCGCACACCCACGCACAGACAUGUGUGCCACAUGCAUGCAGGUGUACAUAGCGCAUGUCCGCUUACCCACGCACAGACAUGUGUGCCACACUCACACAGGUGCACACAGCACGUGUCCACUCACAUGCAUGCGCGCAUGCGUGCAGUCCACUCACCCGCACAGACGUGUGCCACAUGCAUGCAGGUGCACAGGUGCUCACCGCCGUGCCACACUGCAGGUGCACAUGCGCCAUGUGCGCACACGUGCACUGCUCACAUGCACAGACGUGCCACAUGCAGGUGCACACACAUGUCCGCGCCCGUGCCACAUGCAGGUGCAUGCUCACCGUGCACACAUCUGCACAUGCGCAGGACAUGUGUGCCACACGCAUGCAGGUGCACACAGGGCAUAUCUGCUCACCCAUGCACAGACGUGUGCAGGUGCACACACAUCGCAUGUGCUACGCGAUGCAGGUGCACACAGCGUCGCACCACGCAGACAUGUGUGCCACACGCAUGCAGGUGCACACAGUAUAUGUCCACUCACCCACGCACAGAUGUGUGCCACAUGCAUGCAGGUGCACAUAGCAUGUGUCCGCUCACCCACGCACAGACAUGUGUGCCACACACAUGCAGGUGCACACAGGGCAUAUCCGCUCACCCACACACAGGCAUGCAGGUGCACACAGCAUGUGUCCACUCAUCCACGCACAGACAUGUGUGCCACACCCAUGCAAGUGCACACAGCGUAUGUCCACUCACCCACGCACAGACACGCAAACACAGGGAGAUAUGCACAACUCCAUCAUGCUUGGCUCAGUCAAAGGUUUGUUCAGAAAAAAGGCAAAACCCCAUAG
ensembl:lncRNA